GACGAACGCUGGCGGCGUGCUUAACACAUGCAAGUCGAACGAAGAGCGAUGGAAGCUUGCUUCUAUCAAUCUUAGUGGCGAACGGGUGAGUAACGCGUAAUCAACCUGCCCUUCAGAGGGGGACAACAGUUGGAAACGACUGCUAAUACCGCAUACGAUCUAACCUCGGCAUCGAGGAUGGAUGAAAGGUGGCCUCUAUUUAUAAGCUAUCACUGAAGGAGGGGAUUGCGUCUGAUUAGCUAGUUGGAGGGGUAACGCCCACCAAGGCGAUGAUCAGUAGCCGGUCUGAGAGGAUGAACGGCCACAUUGGGACUGAGACACGGCCCAGACUCCUACGGGAGGCAGCAGUGGGGAAUCUUCCGCAAUGGACGAAAGUCUGACGGAGCAACGCCGCGUGAGUGAUGACGGCCUUCGGGUUGUAAAGCUCUGUUAAUCGGGACGAAAGGCCUUC
rnacentral:rRNA from 1 species